UUUGCUGUGUUGGUAAUAAAUGAACAGUGACUUUGGGAAAUUUCCUGGGAUGUCACCAUACAGAGGCACUUUAAGCUUUACAGACAUAGUCUGGACCAGGAGUCUGACAUCAGCCUACCCUUCCACCACAACUACAAUGAUACAAAUAUGUCUUCCAUUUUCUGUUAACGAAGGAGAGCCGCCAGGGCUGCAGGAGUAAGCCUGACUUAUACGCUAGGAUGCAAAGAAAACCAUUAGGAAAAGGGUUUCUGGAGGGUUUCACCAUCCUUUAAUGAGAGGAACCAAACAACUUCUGCCCCAAAACAGGAAGAGCAUGUGUUCAGUGCUCCUGGAAAAUGAAGUGAUAAAUAUUUAAAAUGCUACACAGUCGGUUCUGAGAUCCUUCCAGAACACUGAUUUGGCAGCAAAUUUGCAUGGCCAAUAACAUCCCCUAGUUUCCCAAGCGGUCCUCAGCUACCUGUAGCUCAGACUGGGCCUCUGAAGAAGUGAGCCCUCCACAGCCAUGGUUCCCAACCUUCCUGAUGCUGCGACCCUUUCAUACAGCUCCCCAUGUUGUGGUGACCCCCAACCAAAAAAUUAUUAGUUGCUAUUUCAUAAUUGUAAUUUUACUACUGUUAUGAAUCAUGAUAUAAAUAUCUGACAUGUGACUCCCAUGAAAGGGUUAUUCAAAGGGGUCUCGACCCACAGGUUGAGAAGCCCUGCUUCAGAGGCACUCACCAGCUGUCACCCGGCCCACUGUUAUUUCGCCAAAGCUCUUAGACCUGCUUUAAAGUUUACUUUAGGACAAAUGAUCAACCCAGACCAGGCUGGGACACUCACUGCUCUUGCCUCAGGCAGGACCUUUGUACUUUUCCCCCUCUCCGCUCAAAGACAGUCCUCCUGGUGCGCAAAUGACCAUCUAAGGGGCAAUCUCAGUCCUUGGUGUCUCAACACAUAGCUAAGCCGGCUCUGGGCUUAGAUGGGGGGCGGGUGGAAAGGCCUUCCAGAGAAAGUACCCUAAGACAGAGACACAGCGAGGGAGUGAGUCAUGUGACCACUAGAAGGCACGUGAACUGCUACAGACCGGAGGGGUCCCUGGCUCCCUGGCGAGCUGACACUCUAGCUUCCCUUAUUUCCCAGGCAGCUAGGGAGGCUGGGUACUCUUCACCUUGCCUAGGUGGCCCUGUCUAGCCUUGGCUCCCACAGCCCCUCUCUCCGCUCCAGGCCGUGACCAAACCACAGUGCACCUGCCACCAGCCCCUGACUCCACCCGCCUGACCAAAAUGUCUUCUGCCACCCGACUCCCUAAGUCUCUUGCUUUCUCCUUAAUAACUAAUGAAAGCGCAAGAAACCUGAAGAGGCCAGUGGCCACUCACACGGGAAGGCUUCCAGUGAAGACCACCCCAAACAUAGAGACCCUAGGUCGCAGGCGGUAGUUUCAAGACGCGGCUCUGCUUGCUCAGAAAGGAGAGGUUUCUACUGGGAACACCUGACCCGGAAAACUCGCUUAGUUAAACUGAAAGUGGAGCAGAGAAACAGCCCCUGGAGUCUUUCCUCCUACGGCAUGCUAGCUGGAACAGCCACCACAGGGCACCAGGGUAGUUAGUACUGCUCUCAUCAUACAGGUCUCCCUGACAUAUUACAAGCACGAACCGUUCCUCCAAGUUCAGUGGCUGCCGGGUUAUCGAAAGCCAGAAAGUGACACACUGGUCUCAUACUUGCCAAAGUCUGACCCAGACUGCAGUCGGAGGCAAACCACUGCACACACACAACCCCAAGAUAAGCCAAAGGCACGGGGUCACCACGUCCCUAUAUUAAAGCGCUUAUUUUCCGUCAGCUGUGACGCCCAAGCAGAAGCACAGGCGUCCCUAAUUUGUGCAAGGCUGAGUCUGCAGAAACCCAGGGGCCUCCGGGAACAUGGAAAUCAGGAAGUACAGACUUAGAGAAGCCCAGCAAAAUUUUCCAACAGGGAGGAAGAACCAGCCAGUGAGAAGGAGAGCAAAAACUGAGCUCAGCAUGUGCGAUGGGGAAUGUGUCCAUAUCGGAAGCCCACUGACUGCCGAACUUCAACUCGUGUGUGGGAGGGAAUAGCCUUGAACUAAGCUUUGGAAGCCCCUGCGUCUGCCUCCUGAGUGCUGGGAUGACAAGUGUGACCACCACACACCCGGUUAUGUAGCGCUGUGCCUCUUUCUUGCCAGAUGAGCACCUACCUACAGCUACAUCUCCAGCCCCAAACUUCGUCUAUUGAUAAGUACUCAGCUUCGGGUAUUUUCUUAUAGCAGUGGAAAGAACUAACGUGAGGAAGGCGUUGAAGACAGCAUCAAAAAGUUUGACACUGUUUCUUGUCAUUCACGGAUUCAUGCGGAAGGACGGAUCAUCUUAGUAUAUGUGGUAUAAUUAUGCCAGAAAUUCUUGAUUUAAAUAAUGCCUGAGUCAAAAUAUUUUAAGAAGAAGUAUUUUGUGUUUACAGUUUGUGUUUCCUGAAGAUGGACGUUCUCAGCAGACAUGUGAGAUCGGACAGAACUAGAAUUUAAGAUCAGUCAUCUGCAAGGUACGGAAGGCUCUGUCUGCCUGGUUCAGUUUUCCAGCACUGAGUUCACAGCCACAAAAGCCACCAUUUGUCGUGGCAGAGGAGAUCUGUGAAAACCUCCACCCUGACAACUGUCAAAGCCCCUUGGAGAGGGAUCAGACAGAAAACUGAAACCGGUGUUUAGCCAAUCCAGAUCUUCAAUCAAAUAACGGUUCGAUCAAUUAUCUUAUCACAGCAAGCUUUGGAUCUUGUAAAAGAUUGAAUUGACUCCCCUUUUCUAUCUGUUAUUUAGGAUUGAGAAAAAAUACAGGA